GCUGAUUGAUAGUGCUGCUGUGCCUUGGUUGCUCAGUAAAGAAAGGUGCUAACAAGCUAGCUUUAUCUAUCUAAUCUAGAUAUAACGCUAGCAAGGUUAGCUAGUGAGUUAGCCAGAUUUCAUGGUAAAACUAUUAAACACUGACUGACGUUGAGAACCUCACCAGCAGCUAGCUAACGUCAGUUACACCAGAUAUGGCACGGCAGUAAAUAUAAUUCAAUACCAACACCAACAAUCCCAGGCUGUUACAAUAUUAUCUACUAACCUGGAUGUGACUUUCAGACGCUACUUUAACAUUGACGUGCAGAGACCUGUCAAUCAACUGAGGUGGCGUCUGAGGUGUCCAAUCAGGUUCCAGAGGUGACCAGCGCUACCAGGGCAUCACUGUAGCUCCGCCCCUUUAUGAAUGUUCAUAAAAUAUUACUUCAUGAAAAUUCUUUUCAAGAAAUUUCAGCCAAAUGAAGGCAAAUAAUUUCAAAAGUAAAGCAAUUUCAAAUGUGAAAACUGUUUGGUGAGUUAGUGAGUAUGUGAGUAUUGGUUGUGACUGUGUGACAGACAUAAUAACUGGCAAGAAAAAAAAUCAGAUAAAAGUGGGCACCAUGAGUGAUAGUCGGACGACGAGAGAGGUCUAUAAAUACGGCUGGAGUUCCUCGCUGAUAUUGUAGGAGCUAAUGCCACUGAGCGUGCUCCCGCUUCAUAGCUGGUCGAACCAUGCUGCUGAGCAUGGGUCCCGCUAACAUCAAUGCAUGUCAGCCCGCUUACAGGACAGGCAUUCCCGGCCAUGAGUGACGGUAGAGACCCGGCUCCCUGCUCAUAGGCCGGGGAAAGCCACAAUACAAGCCGGCUGCCAAUGCAUGAUAAUGAAGCGGUAGAGCUCCGGUGGGGUUAGUUCCUACUUUUGCAACUAAAGAGGUAGUAGUAGUUGGUUAUUAAGUUUUGUAUUUCAUAUCAAUGUGAAAACUUUAAUGAGUAAAUAAAUAUAUAUUUUUUAUUUUACUCUCUCAUUCCGACCGUGUAAUAAUGCUAAACCAUUUAUUUAAGGAGUUGUCGUCACUUCAUGUGUAAAUGGUUCAAAGGGGAAAAUAUUUUUUUUUUUGGGGGGGGGACAUUAGAAAAAAAGUGAUGAAAUCAGAGCCUGCAUGCCUUCUAAAUGUGGCAGGUUGAUAUAACAUAGUUAGAUUGUGUUCUUUAAUAGUGGUGUCACUGAGUCCUUGUUUUGUCAUUUGCCAGUUCCUCAUGAUGUGACCCUGCCUGCAUUUGGGGUGUCGUGUCACGUGAGCACUGACUGAGCUGAUGUUGUGAUGUCGUGGCUGAGGUCACCGUGAUCGUACAGUUAUGUGAAAAAGGAAGGACGUCAUCUUCAUCAAAACAAGAUGAGAACGUUAUCGUUGUCCCUUUUCUUCUGUCACGUUUCAUCACCAGGCUGCACUACAGCAUCUAUUGACAGGCGCGAUCCCACUACUGAGCGGCACGGGGGCUUUGACCUGCUCCGUCUCCGACCUGGGCCGGUGCACCCCUCCUUAGACGACCUGGUGGUCCCGGGCUCCCCCAGGAGCACCAUAUCGAUCCCGAACUUAGUGCGGACACCCGAUCGACAUAGUCCGCUGCAGCUCAGAGGUCCUGAGCUCAAACGAUCCUCCAGCCUCAGCCUCCCGGGAGCUUGGA